rnacentral:rRNA from 1 species
UACAGGGGGUGCAAACGUUGCUCGAAUCAUUGGGCGUAAAGCGCACGUAGGCGGUUCGUUAUGUCGGAUGUGAAAGCCCUUGGCUUAACCGAGGAAGUGCAUCCGAAACUGGCGAGCUAGAGUACGAAAGAGGAUCGCGGAAUUCCCGGUGUAGAGGUGAAAUUCGUAGAUAUCGGGAGGAACACCGGUGGCGAAGGCGGCGAUCUGGGUCGAUACUGACGCUGAGGUGCGAAAGCGUGGGGAGCAACAGG